GGGAGAACCGGGAAUCGCGGGCUUCAAAGGCGAGCAGGGACCCAAGGGUGAGACGGGCCCCGCGGGACCCCAAGGUGCCCCCGGGCCGGCGGGCGAGGAAGGCAAGAGAGGAGCCCGCGGCGAACCCGGCGCUGCCGGUCCUUUGGGACCCCCGGGAGAAAGGGGCGCUCCCGGCAAUCGCGGCUUCCCGGGACAGGACGGGCUGGCCGGAC